rnacentral:lncRNA from 1 species
CCAUCACUAUGCAACCACCUACUAACUUAUGUUUUUUCUCAGACUCAGGUGUAAAGUCUCAAUUAAAAUAAUUCCCAUGCCCCACAUAUGAAUAUAAAUAAUGGAUAUCUAACAAAAUAAAAGAAAUAAAAAUAAAGCUAGAAGCAAUCAAUAAAAGCAAAAAAAAACAAACAUACAACUGAAUCCUAGUUUAACUAAGCUAGGUCUAAC